GAUGAAGAACGCAGCAAAAUGCGAUAAGUAAUGUGAAUUGCAGAAUUCAGUGAAUCAUCGAAUCUUUGAACGCACAUUGCGCCCGCCAGUAUUCUGGCGGGCAUGCCUGUUCGAGCGUCAUUUCAACCCUCAAGCACAGCUUGGUGUUGGGACUCGCGUUAAUUCGCGUUCCUCAAAUUGAUUGGCGGUCACGUCGAGCUUCCAUAGCGUAGUAGUAAAACCCUCGUUACUGGUAAUCGUCGCGGCCACGCCGUUAAACCCCAACUUCUGAAUGUUGACCUCGGAUCAGGUAGGAGUACCCGCUGAACUUAAGCAUAUCAAUAAGCGGAGGA
rnacentral:misc_RNA from 1 species